GUCCAGCCCCGGAGAGAGAACCUUCGGCCGCCUCGGCCGCCUGCUGGAGCCGCCGCCGCUCCCGGGUGCCCCAGCCGCCCGCAGCCCGCGCGCUCCUCCUCGCCAAGUGACUGCGAGCUCCGCGCCUCUCCGCACUAUAUCCAGGCGGCGGCGGCGGCGGCGGCGGCGGCGGCGGCGGCGGCGGCGGCAGCAGCAGCGGCCGCCGCGGCGGCAGCAGAGCCGGGCGGGAGGGAGGCGGGGGCGGGGGCGCGGGCGCGGGCGCGGGCGCGGGCGCGGGGAGGGGGGCGCGGCCGAGGCGUAUCCCUCCGCGCCGCGCGGCCCCGGGAUUCGUCCGCAGUCGAGCUCGCAGCCGCGGGUUCGGCCCCCGGGGCCUCCGAGGACGGAGGCGGCCCGGAGCCCUGCACGCCGCCGGCUAGUCCGCGGGAGCCGAUGCCGGGGCUGCGGGCGGCCGCCGGGCCCGCGCUCUACGCGCGUCCGCACUUAGCCGGAGCGGGGCGCCGGGGGGCGGGCGGGCUGUUCCGCGGCCCUCGCCCCCCCGAGGGGAGCCCGUCCCGCCCGGGCCUCGCCCCCCGCCGACCCAUGGGCCGGCUGCCCCUCCCCACGCCUUCCCCGGUGCCGCGGCGGACGGGAGGCAGCUGUGCUCUAGUGUCCACACUGCCCGUCUCCUCCGGCUGGAGAGGGGAGGCGGAGGGAUGUGGACGCUGCCUCCCGUCCACGCGGACCCGCCGCGUUAAGAGCAGGAAGAAUUUUUUCAAGAGCUUAAUCUGAAGGAAUAUUUUUCUACUCAAAGUCGCAUCAGGAUCGAUGGAGAGAGAGAGAGCAAGAGAAAGAAAAAAUUAUCCCCACUCCUUGAGGACAAAAAUGAAGUUGGAGAAUUGGACAUGGAUAAGUCCUACGGUUGGAAAAAUGAUCUGGCCUCAAAACCUAUGGAUUUCCAUUAUAUCCCUUGCUCUCAUAAUAUUUAUCUUCUUAUGCAAAAGCCCCACAUUUAGAAGAAAAAAAAGCUGAGUAAAAGAGGAAUUCAUUGACUAUCUCUUGGAUCUUUGAAUUUGCUGAAGCAUACUCAUAAAAAUAAGGCCUGGAGAAAGGACUUUAUACAUUUAAGUUUAAAUACAAAAGAAGUCACUAUGCUAAAACCAAACUUAUUUUCUGAGAAAAGGAUAUGCUAAGAAGCUUAGAACUCAGUGUAUAAAAUGAAGCAGAGGAGUUAAGUCUUAAGGAAGUUACCUCUGUUUCUUUCAAGUGCCCCCUUCAAACAAUGUCUUUAAGAAGCAUUUUUCGUUCUUAGCUUUAACCAUAUCCAUUUGAUUCCCAUCUGAUAUGAAUAUGGAAUUCCUUUUUAUCUUUACAAAUAAAUCAGUGAUGUGAAGAGAACUUGAUCAUAGGGAGGAAAUAUUUUCAUAGCCUUCUGCCUUUUAGUAAUUAACACUAGCUUCUAAAUAUACAGAAUAACAGGCUCAUGCAUCACAUGUUUAUAAAGCAUUUCUUAGGUGAAUAAUAAGUAUAAUUUUCCUAACAUAUCCAUAUGGAAAGAGAUUCAAGCAUUUUUUUCCCCAGACAACUGUCAUUAAUAUAUCAAAUGAUCUACUUCUCGACCUCUACCAUACACUAAAUUUUUAUAGGUACUUAAGUAUUUCAUGGUUUUCAGCAAAGUUCUCGGUUUCUUCAAAUUUUCAGUGUGCCAAUGGUUAUUUUCCCAUUAUAAUUCUGUAUGUGUGUUGUGCAUGUUCCUUCUUAUUUCUGAUUAUUAUUGCUGUUUAUGUAUUUUACUAUUUUAUUCAAAUAAUUGGCUUAAAGCUUUAAUUACUAAGUGUAACACUAUUUUGCUGCUCAUCUAUUUCAACAAUUCAAUAUUUUUCUUCCAUCUUCUAUCUUUAUUUUAUGAUUUUUCCUUAAGCUUUUGAGUUAUAUGCUAAAAAAUGUUAAAUUUUCUUUUUAACUUUGGGAUGCCUGGGUGGCUCAGUGGUUGAGCAUCUGCCUUCGGCUCGGGGCAUGAUCCCAGAGUCCCAGGAUUGAGUCCCACAUCGGGCUCACUGCAUGGAACCUGCUUCUCCUUCUGCCUGUGUCUCUGCCUCUCUCUCUAUGUCUCUCAUGAAUAAAUAAAAUAUUUAAAAAAAAUAUAUAUAUAUAUAUAAAUUUUCUUUUUAACUUAAUAUAAAAAUUUAGAGUUAUUCAUUGUUCUCCUAAUAAUUGCUUAACUUGUAUCCCAGGUAAAAAUUCAGUUUCGAUUUCCUUUCAACCACUUUGAAGAAGAAUUUUGUUGUUGAUUUGUGUUGUUUUUUUUUUUAAUUUUUACAUAUGGUGGGCUUUUAAAAUUCUGAUUUAUUAUCCAUAAGUAGUUUUAUUUUAUUGAGAUUAGAGAAUGUCCUCUGUACUCAUUUUUCUUUUCAGAAUUGAGUGAAAAUUUCUUUGUGGAGAAAUAGAUAACAUUCUUUAAAUGUUUCAUGUAUAAGUGAAAAGAAUGUCUAAUUUAUGUUUUCAAGAAAUACAAUACAGCAUAUUGGAAUUUGAUCUGACUUGCUGUUAAGUCAUUAUGUUAUCAUCUCAUUUGGUUGGCCAUAGAAUUAUGGAGGUAUAGUAAAAUGUCUUUCCUAUACUGUGUCUCUCUCUUUCUAUUUUGUCUUCUGUGGUUGUUGUUAUGAAUGCAAAUGCCGUGUUAUUAUGUGUCACAUAGACAUUUGUAUAGUACUUUGAUAUAAAUUUUAAGUAUUUGGGAAUAAACUUUGUGCUUUUCAAUUAUUUAAAAUAGUUGCCAGCUCUACCCACCCCCACCUUCUCUUCCAAAUGUAGAAGCUAUUUUUUUGUUUUUUGGUAAUCAGCUGGAUGCACAGUUGUUUUUCAUUGUGAAUUGAAUUUUCAUUUCCUUGACCAUUAAGAAGAUUAUGCUCCAUUUGCCAUCAUAUGUUAAUUGGCUAUUGAGUUUUCCUAUUAGUGAUUUUUUUCAUAUAAUUUUUCUGUUUAUAUGUUGCAUUGUAUUUAAUUUUGUUAUCAAUAGACACAUGCUUUUGUAUAAUAGAGACAUUAACCAUUUGUUUUCUGGGUUUCAAGCAUCCCUCUUAUUUAUUCUUAUAACCUGGGUUUGUUUGUCACAUAUUUUGU
rnacentral:lncRNA from 1 species